UACGUAGGGCGCAAGCGUUGUCCGGAAUUAUUGGGCGUAAAGAGCUCGUAGGCGGCUUGUCACGUCGGGUGUGAAAGCCCGGGGCUUAACCCCGGGUCUGCAUUCGAUACGGGCUAGCUAGAGUGUGGUAGGGGAGAUCGGAAUUCCUGGUGUAGCGGUGAAAUGCGCAGAUAUCAGGAGGAACACCGGUGGCGAAGGCGGAUCUCUGGGCCAUUACUGACGCUGAGGAGCGAAGCGUGGGAGCGAACAGG
rnacentral:rRNA from 1 species